rnacentral:tRNA from 1 species
GCGCACGUGGCCAAGUGGUAAGGCAAUGGGUUGCAGCCCCAUGAUCCUCAGUUCAAAUCUGGGCGUGCGCU